CCCAAACCAAUAAAGUUUUCUUUAUUGGGGUUGCGGACAUAUCAUAACGAAGAGGUAUCGUAAUUGAAGAGGUUUGGAAAGACCCACCACAGAAGGUAAUAGUCCUGUAUGUUAAACGAGAAGACUUUAGAUAUGAUCCAGAGUACCACGGGACACGUGAAACCCUGUGGGAAGCAGGAGGGACCACCCUCCAAGGCUAAAUACUACCUAGUGACCGAUAGCGUAUAGUACCGUGAGGGAAAGGUGAAAAGAACCCCGGGAGGGGAGUGAAAUAGAACCUGAAACCCUGCACUUACAAGCUGUGGAAGCACAUUUCUUGUGUGACCGCGUACUUUUUGUAGAACGGGCCAACGAGUUACGUUAAGUAGCAAGGUUAAGCACUUAAGGUGCGGAGCCAUAGCGAAAGCGAGUUUUAACUGAGCGUUCAGUUACUUGACGUAGACCCGAAACCGGGCGACCUACCCAUGAGCAGGAUGAAGCGAAAGUAACAUUUCGUGGAGGUCCGAACCCACGAGCGGUGAAAAGCUCGGGGAUGACUUGUGGGUAGCGGUGAAAUUCCAAUCGAGCCCGGAGAUAGCUGGUUCUCCCCGAAAUAGCUUUAGGGCUAGCCUCAAGGUGAGGGAUACGGAGGUAGAGCACUGAAUGUCCUAGGGGGUAUUGCACCUACCGAAGACUAUCAAACUCCGAAUGCCGUCAUCUUAUACUUGGGAGUCAGACUGUGGGUGAUAAGAUUCAUAGUCGAAAGGGCAACAGCCCAGAUCGUCAGCUAAGGUCCCUAAAUGUAAGUUAAGUGGUAAAGGAUGUGGGAUUGCACAGACAACCAGGAUGUUGGCUUAGAAGCAGCCACUCAUUCAAAGAGUGCGUAAUAGCUCACUGGUCGAGUGAUCCUGCGCCGAAGAUUUCCGGGGCUAAA
rnacentral:rRNA from 1 species